UCGGCGUCCGUUAGUCCCAGCGGAGGUGGGACGUGGAUCAGAAUCGCGUGUCCCCGCCUGGUCCAUGGCCCUGGAAGUUAGCUUUUCCGUCGGGUGGGGACAGGCAGACAAAUUGAUUGCAGGAUCCAGAGUGUUCUUUGCCCAGAGCGGUGCUCAUUUGGAAACAGGGGAGUCUUCGGCGGAGAGAGAAGAGCGCCGGCGGCGAUCCACCAUGGAGUUUCCGAUGCAUCCAAGCGGCAGAUCCAGUGUCCUUGAGGAACUAGGAGAGAGCUUGGUGCAAUGGUGCCGGCCGCUGUAGCGCCUGGGCUGAGGGGAGGUGCUACGGUGGAAGAGCAGCAGGUGUAGCAGCCAGGAGCGGUGGAUAGCGCGGACGCUCAGAUUUUCGCCACCAAUGAAGCGCUGGUGUGCAGGAGGGAUAACCGCCUGGUUGGACUAAGAGGCUGGGGAUUAGGGCUGAGGCACCGAGAAGAACACCCUGCCCAAUCGCGUCAGUGUGUUUGAGAAGGCUAUUCGGAGUUAUGCCGACAAUCCAGCCGAGAAUGUGAUCACACCAGUGCUUGGCACUACUUUCAGACUCUCCAGGUGAGGCUUGUGACUUCUAUAAUUUGUACUCAUGGGCGAAAGGCUUCGGCAUCCGAUAUGAGAAGAGCCGGCUGAAUGUCGAGAGGACGAAUGCAUGCGGGAAAUAGUGUUAAUUCGGUUAAUCUCGGGAAGGGAGUGUGGUGCGGAUGGCUUUAGGGAGGGACAGAUCCCCACAAGUCUCGGAACUCUCCACGGUGAAGAUGAAUCCACAUGCCCCUGGAUGGAACAAGAGGUAAGCCUGAUGCUUGUUAGUUCAUUCCACCGUAGGACAUAGAAGGCGAAUUCAGUAUGGCAGGCAGGUGGGAUGAUUUAGCGUAGUAAUGGAUGUGCAAAAAGAAUUUAGGUAUGGCCAGGUAGGUGUUGAAAAACCAUCAUGUGGAAUGGAAAGGAAGUUUGUGUGGGCUGUAGUAUGGUGAAGCACAUGCCAGUUUCUGGGCUGAAAAAAUUGUACAGAUUUAGAUGCAGGCAAGUUCUGGCAUUCCUGUAGGUAAGAGCCACAAAAUUUUAAUUGCAUUGCUAAGGCAUGUUUUGAUUGAUCGUAUUUGCUGUCAAAUUUAGUAUGUUCGGCUGUAAUGAAGCAAAAAAAAAGCGGUUGUUGCAGAUUGAGGACUGGAUGAAGCUGUUGCUGCACCUAGUAGAGCCCCGUGUCCACCGCGCGUCAGUGCUUUCGAGAAGGCAGUGCGCCGUUAUGCUGAGAACCCUAGUGCUGCCGUAUCUUUGAGUAUGAUUCUCUUUGAAUAAUCAUAGGUUUGGUCUAACUGAGGAGUUCCCAGACUACGCACCCCGGUGUAAUGCUUAUAGAUGAUGUCUUUGUUAUACGCAGUGAAUUUAAAUAAAAGUAAUCAUAGGUUUGGUCUAACUGAGGAGUUCCCAUACUACGCACCCCGGCAAUAUGUAAUGCUUAUAGGUGGUGUCUUUGUUAUACGCAGUGAAUUUAAAUAAAAGUA